AAAUGAGGAAAUUGCCUCCCAGGUGCUGUUUUGAUAUCCCACUUGUGAACAUCUCCUAGCUCUCAUUCUUCCACUGGAAUUCCUGAUGAUUGCAACGAUGCCCGUGCUAAGGGGAGAAAUGAUCUCUCCCAAUUCUUAGGACUCCUCAAUAGUUAUAGGCCAGACUUAAUUCUAGCAGGAGUUUCAACCAAGCCACCUUCCAAGGAAAAUUCAUCUUAAGUAAGAGAGAGUGUCAGGUUUGGGGUCACAGAGGUUUACAACAGGUCAGAAACAAGAGGAUGACCCCAUUUGACAUAUCAGUGAAGACUUCACCUUGCUGCCAUCAGAGAAUGGACUCCAUCCUAUUGGAGAUCACAUCUCAGGCAGUCUAAAAGUGAUGAUGGAGUAGCAGCAGAGCAGCAGCCUGGUGAGCAG
rnacentral:lncRNA from 1 species